rnacentral:rRNA from 1 species
CCAUUAGAUGUUCUGGGCCGCACGCGCGCUACACUGACGAAUGCAACGAGCUUAUAACCUUGGCCGAAAGGUCUGGGUAAUCUCCAAAUUUCGUCGUGAUGGGGAUAGAUUAUUGCAAUUAUUAAUCUUCAACGAGGAAUGCCUAGUAAGCGCAAGUCAUCAGCUUGCGUUGAUUACGUCCCUGCCCUUUGUACACACCGCCCGUCGCUCCUACCGAUUGAAUGGUCCGGUGAAGCGUUCGGACCGUGGCCUUUGGACGGUUCGCCGUCUGUUGGCUGCGGGAAGUUCGUUAAACCUUAUCAUUUAGAGGAAGGAGAAGUCGUAACA